rnacentral:rRNA from 1 species
GACGAACCGUGCGAACGUUAUUCGGAAUCACUGGGCUUAAAGGGCGCGUAGGCGGGUCGGUAAGUCAGGGGUGAAAUCCCACGGCCCAACCGUGGAAGUGCCUCUGAUACUGCCGGCCUCGAGGGGGAUAGGGGCGUGCGGAACUCAGGGUGGAGCGGUGAAAUGCGUAGAUAUCCUGAGGAACACCGGUGGCGAAAGCGGCGCGCUGGACCCCUUCUGACGCUGAGGCGCGAAAGCCAGGGGAGCAAACGGG